CUGGGCGGUGUUUGUUUCACGAGUGUUUUAGUACCUUACUUGGACCUCACUAAGUGUCCAAGUUAGUUUUAAUUAUUCAAAGACCUUCCAAUUCUCUUUCUCUCUUUAUCCUAGUUUUUUUCUACCCAGCCAUCUUUCUCCCUUCCCCUUGAAUCAACACUUGGGUAUUCUCUCUUUAUUCUUGAUCCCAAUAUAGAGUUGCUAAAAUACAGGGGGUUAAUAACAAGUAUUUUAAGAAAUAUUUAUAAUGAUUUGAUGAAGAACAAGUUUGAGAUUUGACUUUUCAAAGUUUCUUUUAAGAAGUAAAUAAAAACCUUUCAGUGCAGGUAUCAGGUUACAGAUACUUCAUGGGUAGUAGAUUCUACAUUUUGUAUUCUGCAACAAUUUAGAUUUAAAAAUCAAGGUUUAAUUUUUGUUCAGAAGUUGAAUAAUAAAUAACUCUGUGAAAGAGAUUCCAAUAUCAAUAUUGUUUCCCAGCCACCACUUUAACAUAAUAAUUUACAGUAUUGAUAAACAUUAUUUUAUUUAGUAUCUCCUGAGGGUAAAGACUGUAGAUCUUCUGCCGUAAAGAUAGUCCAGCUAACAGUGGCAGCCCAGGUUGGAAUCCAGCAGGGAGAGAAAAUGUGCAAGGAAUAUUAUGAAAGAUGUGGAAUUAGCGCAGAAGAUAUUAUUGCUAUGGUUGAUGUUGAGAUGGAAUAUUAUUAGAAAUAUGUUCAGAUGUGGAACUAGUGUGGAAGAUAUUAUUGCUAUGGUUGAUGUUGAGAUGGAAUAUUAUUAUAAAUAUGUUCAGAUGUGGAACUAGUGUGGAAGAUAUUAUUGCUAUGGUUGAUGUUGAGAUGGAAGACCUGGAUAGAAUUGAAAAGGAACUUGAAGGAUUAACAGAAGAGAGAAAAGGAAGAACUUAAAAAGGUUUUAGUUGAUGCUGGCGUAGAUCUUGAGAAGAUUUGGGACUAAACUUAAUCCUGGAGAAGGUGGAGACCUAAACAUAAUCCUGGAGAAGGUUAAACAUAAACCUACUCCUGGAGAAGGUUAAACCUAAACCUAACCCUUAGAAUGGGUCUGCACAGAAAUCUCAAUUAAAAAAUAUGUACAUCUUGAAAAUAAAUAUGAUAAAGUUUAAAA